UUAUAAUGAUGACUGACUUUGGUCCGUGUUUAUGAUCUUAAUGAUUCACCACAAAGUUCUGAUAUA